GAGCAGAUCUGAAAGACAACGUUUGUUAAAUUGAGAAAGUUGAGUCGUCCAGGCCUUUCUUUAAUGAUCUAGAGCAGUGUUACCCAAC